GGCUCAGCGGUAGAGCACCUGCCUAGCAUGCACAAAGCCCUGGGUUCAAUCCCCAG
rnacentral:tRNA from 1 species